ensembl:lncRNA
ACAGGUUUGCUGACUGACUACAAGAGAAUUUGCUGUGCACACAAAAGGUAAGCAGAGAAGAGCCACAAAAUCACACUGGAAGAGAUCUGUGAUAAUUUCAGGACAGCUUUGCUUCACAGCCCACAUCCUGACAAGACAGCUCUUCUGCUCUCUGUCCAGACCACAGCAGUGCAGUGCCGGUGAGGAGAUUUCUGCCUGGUCACUGCCUGCAGUAUCAGCUGCAAGACAUGCCAGGGACACUCACAGCAUCCCUCCUCAGUUAUACAUGAUAAUACACUCUGUUGGCUCGUGGGGUAGGACACAGAAUGAUGUGUUCAUCUGUUCACAAACUGCAACACCAUGCUGAGUGAAGGUGUCAGAAGAAAGACAGAAAAAGCAGGAAGAAGACCCCUUAGAGAAUGAGAUAUAAAGUAAAGAUACUUGAGCAUCUGCCCUCUGGAAAGAGGUCUCUUAGCUGGUUCAUUUCUGCAUUAGUAGAGCAGUGUCCAGGACAUAGUAUGCCAACAGAAGCUUCAAAAAUGGUAAGAGAACAAAAAAGAUUAUCACAUAUAGCUUGUAACAAGUCUGAUCUACUUUGUCUAUUUUAUUGCUGUAUGCCUUUUAUUUGGGGAACUUAUUUGUUGUUUUUUGGGGGGAUUUGGGUUUUUUAAUUUUUUUUUUUCAUUCAGUCUUCUAUUACCUUAUCCAUUGGGGGGGGGGGGUUGGGGGGUUGGUGAGAAACUCAAAGUUGAUAAAAUCUAAUUGAAUCCUAUGUCUCAAAUCAAAGUAUGGGAUCAAAUUUUACCAAGCCCUACAAAAAAUUACACUUUAUUGCAGGAAAAAAAAAGACCCAAACCAAAAAAGAUAACUUUCUAAUGGUAUUUGUUGUUUCAGUUUUAAAGGGGGAAAAUAAAAACCAAGGAAGCAAUUUUUCUGGGGACACACAAAGCUGAUUUCUAUCCCUAAGUUGUGGAAAUGUCUGUUCUAACACUUCAAUUUCAUGGUACUUAAACCAGAUUUUAAUUUUUUUUUUUUUUAUUUUGCAAUGUCUACUUAUUGAGAAACAAAUCCAAGUAUAUAAAGGUAUUAAGUAAUCACCUAUUAAGAUUAUAUACAAAGAAAAUUAAAAAUAUGGAUAGAUAUUGCAAAGUCUAGCUGAUAUGUGAAGUUCUGUGGCGUUCCUUAUUCUUGUGGACUUCCUGUAUCACACUGUAUUGCCUUCAAUAAUUUUGGUGAUAUAUAUGACAGCAGUUACUUUACAGGAUUGGUAAGAGCUAAAUUCAAAGUGUUAAUGGCACUGUUGGUUCAUGAGAAAAAGAAGAAUAUGUCUCUUUUGAUAGUAAGUGUUUCAAUCAAUAUUUUCAAUAUUUUCUACUUCAAUGAAAUAUGUUUUCUCUUUUAUGAAGGGUACCACACAAAAUUUUUUUCAGACAAUUUUUUAAAUUUGAAAUUUAUAGGAAGAAGAAGCAAUCCAACAACAAAGAUGUAAUGAAAAAUAAAUUAUGAGAAAUUAUGUUUUGGUAAAGAAAGGUGUCUUAGGUACUAAAAUAAUAAAUAAAAAUAUAAAAAAGCAGAAGGACAUUGUACUCAUAUGGAAACUACUGCAUUGUACAAUGAUGAUCUUGUUGGUAUGACAAAAAGCCGUUAAUACCAUUGAAAUUAUGACUUUAUUUAUUUUUUUUAAACACCAUCGCAUUUUGGAAUUAAAUUCAAAUGUGGGCAAAAUGUGACUUGUAUGUCUGCUUCCAGCAGGAAAAAAAAACGCUUUGCUGGUCACUGACAUUGUCAUUGACUCAGUCUUGCCCUCUGAAAUACUAUGAUCUAACUAUUGUCUGUUAAAAGACUUAAGAGACAGAUCUAUCAGCUGUCAAAACCCCAAAAUCCAAAACACAAAACUCCCCACCAAAGGCAGUCCGCAAACACUACCAAAACCCAAAUUAAAGCCAUAUUCUUACUGACAAAGAGAGACAUUCUUGCUAUCAAAAUGGCAACAAUUAAGGAUUUUAGUCAGGUAAUGUCAGAAUUAUAAGAUUUAAUGAUACACCACUAUCUAAAAUAGCCAUGCCAACAACAAAGAAAUGAAAUAUUAUAAAAUAAUAAAUGGCAAGACCUAAAUAAAUCACGAUUUGAAAGGAUGUUGUAAAUUUCUAGUUACGUUUUAUUGUGAUGGGACCCACUUACACAUCAAAAAUAUUUUUUAAUGUCUUUAUUAA